CAGUCGCCGCGGGAACACGGAGGGUGCAAGCGUUAAUCGGAAUUACUGGGCGUAAAGCGUGCGUAGGCGGUUCGUUAAGUCUGUUGUGAAAGCCCCGGGCUCAACCUGGGAAUGGCAAUGGAUACUGGCGAGCUAGAGUGUGUCAGAGGAUGGUGGAAUUCCCGGUGUAGCGGUGAAAUGCGUAGAGAUCGGGAGGAACAUCAGUGGCGAAGGCGGCCAUCUGGGACAACACUGACGCUGAGGCACGAAAGCGUGGGGAGCAAACAGGAUUAGAUACCCGUGUAGUCCCUGUCUCUUAUAC
rnacentral:rRNA from 1 species